rnacentral:rRNA from 1 species
AGAGUUUGAUCCUGGCUCAGGAUGAACGCUAGCGGCAGGCUUAAUACAUGCAAGUCGAACGGUAAGGUCUCUUCGGAGAUACACGAGUGGCGCACGGGUGCGUAACGCGUAUGCAACCUACCUUUAACUGGGAAAUAGCCCCGAGAAAUCGGGAUUAAUGUCCCAUACUAUUCUGAGAAUGCAUAUUCUUAGAAUGAAAGCUCCGGCGGUUAUUGAUGGGCAUGCGUGACAUUAGCUAGUUGGUGAGGUAACGGCUCACCAAGGCUACGAUGUCUAGGGGUCCUGAGAGGGUUAACCCCCACACUGGUACUGAGACACGGACCAGACUCCUACGGGAGGCAGCAGUAAGGAAUAUUGGGCAAUGGACGCAAGUCUGACCCAGCCAUGCCGCGUGAAGGAUGAAUGUCCUAUGGAUUGUAAACUUCUUUUAUGCAGGAAAAACAUCCCGGUCGUGAACCGGGACUGACGGUACUGUAUGAAUAAGCAUCGGCUAACUCCGUGCCAGCAGCCGCGGUAAUACGGAGGAUGCAAGCGUUAUCCGGAUUCAUUGGGUUUAAAGGGUGCGCAGGCGGAAUGAUAAGUCAGUGGUGAAAUCUCCCGGCUCAACCGGGAAACUGCCAUUGAUACUGUCGUUCUUGAGUACAGUUGAAGUGGGCGGAAUGUGUCAUGUA